UCUUGGCUCAAGAAACGUUUCGAAGCAGUAAGAAGCAUCGGUUCUCUGUGUACUGUCCCUGUUUAAACACCUCCAAGGAGAAAAACAACCUUUCUCGACCAUUGGAAUGCAAGACAACAAUAGAUGCUGAAGAAAAAGACUUGACUACUGGAAACCUCCUGUAGGUACCCAGAAUUUUUGAAUAAACAUUAUCACAAAGCC